ACGAUGCUGGCCCCAUGCACGACUGAUGAUGCGGCGCCAGCACGGCCGGAGGUAGAGAAGACGAAAAUCGACCUCUGCAUUUGCUGCGGCGAUUUUCAGGUAUGCCACACAGCUCUGAUUUUGUGUUUCCUUCUGAUCGGUUUAUUAAAUUCAAACAUCAUUACCGCUUAUUGCCAUUUCUAAUUCCGCUAUGUCUAGAACUCGCAUGCAUUGCUCACUGGAAAUUGAGGAAGGUUAGUGUAAGGAGAGGCGAAAGAAUCCUUAUUUCUAUACUUUUUCGAUUUCUCUCAUCCAGACGAAUGAUGUGAUAUAAAUAUUCGACCUAAAUAUUAGAAAAAAUUAAGAGAAAACAACCUAAAAGACCAUGCCAAAAAGUCAAGAAAAUAUAAGGCCAAAGGGGCCCUAAGCACCACAGAGCUAAUUUCGCUAUGUGUGGAACUCGCACACGUUGCUCACUAGAAAAUUGAGGGAAGGUUAGUGUAAGGAGAGGCAACAAGGGUCUCUAUUUUUUUUACUUUUUUGAUUCCUCUCAUCGAUCGAGACGAACAAUAUGUUGUAAAGAUUUGACCCAAAUCUAAGUACUCCUUCUGUCCCGAAUUGUCUACCCCGAAUUGUCUACACGGUCCGCAAAAGGAGGACUUCGAAACAUCAUAUUUUUUCAACCAAAAAUUCCAAAAUAAUUCCAUAAAUCGAUCGAACUCAUUGAUACCUAUUAAAUGUCGUAAUUUUUUUUGAAUUUUCCUUAUGAAAAUUGUAUUAUUUUUAUUUCAUUUUACAAACCCAGCAAAGGUUUUGAGGCGGACUAAAAAUUAAGAGAAAACAACCCAAAAGACCGUACCACAAAGUCUGGAAAAUAUAGGGGCGAAGGGGCCCUAAGUACCACAUUACCUAAAUUCCUGUACCUGCUCAUGGCUUCUCUCCGCAUUUUCCAUAUUAAAGCAACAAGCGUGCGCUCAAAAUACCUUUGUAAGUUUUUCAACACCCGAAUCCCCUACUGAGAAAUCUACCAUUAUUUAGUAUUUUGUGUUCAUCUAACUUGAAGAUGUUCAACCAUUAUACAAGUCUCUUGCAAGAGUUCUCCAUGGAAUAGUUUCUGUAAGGUGCAUAAUCUAUCUUGGUGACCAACUUGUGCUGGUUAGACCUUAAAAUAAGUAAUUGAAUUGUCUAAUGCAAAACAUGGAUAUAUGCUAUUUCUGUGGAUACUAUGGAGGAUGGGCAGCUCCUGAUAACAUUCGUAUUGGAGGACUAUCAGGGAUCUUUAAGGCACACAAUUAUCAUUAGGGUCUUGAAGGUAUAGAUUUUGUUACUUGGUGUAACCAGCCCCUAGGUAUUAAAGUGAAAAAAGCCAAAUAGGUGUUUUAUGAGGGUUUGCCUUGUAACGAUAGAGAUAUCGAUCUAUACAUUAUGGACAGGAUAUGAUGUUCACAAGCUCAUGCAAAGUGACAAACCAAUUGAUAUAUUUCGUUUGGUAUGACUGGCCUACUGGUAUCACCGACCAUGGAGAUUGGAAGGUGCUUGUUCAAUGUAAACCGUUUUUCAAGGAAGAGGUUUGGAGGUUUGGUGGACUUGUGAUAGGAUCAUAGUCUGCUCGUACACUUUAUGUCGUCAAAGCUGAACACGUAUUUUAUGUUAAUCAACGACGUUGGGAGGGGUGACACAGGUGACUGGGGCUACAAAUGAACCGAGCCGUUUGUGAAUUGUUCGAGGCUCAACUCGCUUCAGAACAAAACAAAAGAGAAAAAAAUGCUUAGUCCUCUUCGUGCCUUGCUUCUGCUCGAACCAAUGGAUAUACACAGCUCGAGAGUUCUUGUUACUAUCCCUUCAUUAGGACCAAGAAAGCUGAGGAAGUCAAACAAAGUGUUGACAUACUUGUAAGGUGUUGUUUCCUUUGAUCAUGACAUUGAUGUGGAUAAAAUAGGACUUUCUGAAGUUGAUGAUGUGCAAGAGCAGGAGGAAAUUAUGCAGAGCAUCGGGGUAACAUUUUUCAGCUCAGUUCCUUAAUUUUGGGGGUGAACUCUUCGUGUUUCAGAGCUGGAAAGGAACUGAUCAUAGUUUAUAAAGAAUGUUAACUAAUUAAUGCAGAGGCAUGAUUCCUUCUGAUAUUCAAAAUUUUCCACCUUGGUAGCAAAGUUGAGUUACCUUUGUAUUGGCCCGGGCAUUUGGAAAAUGGGCAAAGAAACUGGAAACUGCGUAACCAUUAAGGCUCGAUUUGAGCCAGCCUUGGUCAGAUGAUUAACAAACUUUGAACUGUGUGACUGUCUAUUACCUCUAUCA